UACGUAGGGGGCAAGCGUUGUCCGGAUUUAUUGGGCGUAAAGAGCGUGUAGGCGGCUUGGUAGGUCCGCUGUGAAAACUCGAGGCUCAACCUCGAGACGCCGGUGGAAACCAUCAGGCUAGAGUCCGGAAGAGGAGAGUGGAAUUCCUGGUGUAGCGGUGAAAUGCGCAGAUAUCAGGAAGAACACCCGUGGCUAAGGCGGCUCUCUAGUACGGUACUGACGCUGAGACGCGGAAAGCGUGGGGGAGCAAACAGG
rnacentral:rRNA from 1 species